GACGAACGCUGGCGGCGUGCCUAAUACAUGCAAGUAGAACGCUGAAGAGAGGAGCUUGCUCUUCUUGGAUGAGUUGCGAACGGGUGAGUAACGCGUAGGUAACCUGCCUGGUAGCGGGGGAUAACUAUUGGAAACGAUAGCUAAUACCGCAUAAAAUGGAUUAUCGCAUGAUAAUCCAUUGAAAGGUGCAAAUGCAUCACUACCAGAUGGACCUGCGUUGUAUUAGCUAGUUGGUGGGGUAACGGCUCACCAAGGCGACAAUACAUAGCCGACCUGAGAGGGUGAUCGGCCACACUGGGACUGAGACACGGCCCAGACUCCUACGGGAGGCAGCAGUAGGGAAUCUUCGGCAAUGGACGGAAGUCUGACCGAGCAACGCCGCGUGAGUGAAGAAGGUUUUCGGAUCGUAAAGCUCUGUUGUAAGAGAAGAACGAGUGUGAGAGUGGAAAGUUCACACUGUGACGGUAUCUUACCAGAAAGGGACGGCUAACUACGUG
rnacentral:rRNA from 1 species